rnacentral:rRNA from 1 species
UGGGGAAUUUUGGACAAUGGGCGCAAGCCUGAUCCAGCCAUGCCGCGUGCGGGAAGAAGGCCUUCGGGUUGUAAACCGCUUUUGUCAGGGAAGAAAAGGUUCUGGCUAAUACCUGGGACUCAUGACGGUACCUGAAGAAUAAGCACCGGCUAACUACGUGCCAGCAGCCGCGGUAAUACGUAGGGUGCAAGCGUUAAUCGGAAUUACUGGGCGUAAGGCGUGCGCAGGCGGUUAUGCAAGACAGAGGUGAAAUCCCCGGGCUCAACCUGGGAACUGCCUUUGUGACUGCAUGGCUAGAGUACGGUAGAGGGGGGUAGAAUUCCGCGUGUAGCAGUGAAAUGCGUAGAUAUGCGGAGGAACACCGAUGGCGAAGGCAAUCCCCUGGACCUGUACUGACGCUCAUGCACGAAAGCGUGGGGAGCAAACAGGAUUAGAUACCCUGGUAGUCCACGCCCUAAACGAUGUCAACUGGUUGUUGGGAGGGUUUCUUCUCAGUAACGUAGCUAACGCGUGAAGUUGACCGCCUGGGGAGUACGGCCGCAAGGUUG